rnacentral:rRNA from 1 species
CCUACGGGUGGCAGCAGUGGGGAAUAUUGCGCAAUGGGCGAAAGCCUGACGCAGCGACGCCGCGUGAGGGAUGAAGGUCUUCGGAUCGUAAACCUCUGUCAGCAUGGAAGAACGGUCACUGUGCUAAUCAGCAGUGAAUUGACGGUACCUGCAAAGGAAGCACCGGCUAACUCCGUGCCAGCCGCCGCGGUAAUACGGAGGGUGCGAGCGUUAAUCGGAAUUACUGGGCGUAAGGCGCUCGUAGGCGGUAUGUCAAGUCAAGGGUGAAAUCCCCGCGCUCAACGUGGGCACUGCCUUUGAAACUGGAAAACUGGAGUGUGUGAGAGGAUAGUGGAAUUCCAGGUGUAGGAGUGAAAUCCGUAGAUAUCUGGAGGAACAUCAGUGGCGAAGGCGACUAUCUGGCACAUAACUGACGCUGAGGAGCGAAAGCGUGGGUAGCAAACAGGAUUAGAUACCCUUGUAGUC